CCUACGGGUGGCUGCAGUGGGGAAUAUUGGACAAUGGGCGAAAGCCUGAUCCAGCCAUGCCGCGUGUGUGAAGAAGGCCUUCGGGUUGUAAAGCACUUUCAGUGGGGAAGAAAGCCUUGGGGCUAAUACCCUCGAGGAAGGACAUCACCCACAGAAGAAGCACCGGCUAACUCCGUGCCAGCAGCCGCGGUAAUACGGAGGGUGCGAGCGUUAAUCGGAAUUACUGGGCGUAAAGCGCGCGUAGGCGGUCUGAUAAGCCGGUUGUGAAAGCCCCGGGCUCAACCUGGGAACGGCAUCCGGAACUGUCAGGCUAGAGUGCAGGAGAGGAAGGUAGAAUUCCCGGUGUAGCGGUGGAAUGCGUAGAGAUCGGGAGGAAUACCAGUGGCGAAGGCGGCCUUCUGGACUGACACUGACGCUGAGGUGCGAAAGCGUGGGUAGCAAACAGGAUUAGAUACCCCGGUAGUC
rnacentral:rRNA from 1 species